rnacentral:lncRNA from 1 species
GUCUCUGUCUCUCUCUCCUUUUCUCUCCUUGCUGCAAUGAGAAGACACAGCAAGAAGACUUCUGUCUGCAAGCAAGGAAGAAGGCUCUCACCAGGAACCGAAUUGGUUAACACCUAAUUAUCUUGGACUUCCCAGCCUUUAGAACUAAAGACAACUGAAUAAAUUUGGUAGCAGAAUAGGAAGGAACAAAUACAUGAGCGUACUCGGAAUGAGAGAAGACAGCAGCAGGUAACAGAAGGUGGUUAAGUAAUGAAAUUUUUAGCAGCACAUGCCCACACCGUGGCCCCUUCCUGAUUCCUGUAAUGUACAUGUGGAAUCGACUGUGUAGAAGAGAAACUUCAGAGAUGCAUUGGUGUCAAUCAGGCACAUCCCUGGACCAGACUAUAUAUCCAAUUAAAGAUGUAUUGAGGACUAUCUCUCACACAUAUUGCCUGGCUAUGGGCCCUACCUUUGAGGAUGUGAUGUCUUUGGUGCCACAGACAUGCAUAAUCAGUGGACACAGAGAAAGCAUGAGUGAUUCAAAUGGACAUGGAAACAAGAACUGGAAAUUGGACGUCUGGUAUUCUCAUGGAUGGCUUGCAGGACUUCCUUAUGGGAUUUGGGUACGAAGGUCCCCCUCCACCGUCACCCAAGCUUUAUCGCCUCUGUCCUAGAUUAUUGCUUCUAGCAUUGAAGGGACAGUGAUAUGUAAAAUAUCCAGGACAAAGGAAACGGAAGAUACAGGUGAAAGUGAGUGAGGAAGCAGAGAAGGCAGAUCUUAGAAGCAGGGCCGACCACUACCACCAGCCCAACUGGAUAUACUGUGCUCAUCCUCAUGGGCAACUUCCUCAUCUUCAUACCUCAGAUUCAGUCUAGUUUAAUGCUUCUUGGACUUGGAUAAAGGGAUAGUUGGAGGGGAGGGGAUUUUAACAAUAAAAGAGAAAUAAGCACUUUUUAAUUAUUUGUAAUGGAAUAUAGCUUGUAUGUUUUAUGUUUAAGAACAGGAUUAAGAAGUGUGAAGUCAGUGAAUUCAGAGGAACAUAUUCCAUAUGCCAUUUAGUCAGACAGUGAAAGAAACAGGCCAAAAAAAAGAGGAAGUAGCUGUAGAAUUUUUAGAUUUUUUGUUUGUUUAUUUUGUUUUGUUUCUUUUUUUCCCUACAAAAG